ACAAAUAAAUAAAUAGUCAUAUGCGUAAACAAUUAAACAAAAACAUAAUAAUCUAUAAAGGUUGAAAUUAAAUGAAUGAAGGGUUAAAUCGAAAUUUAAAAUGAAAUUUAGGGCCUAGAUUAUAAUAAAAAUGACAAAUAAGAACUAAAUCGAGAUUAAAUAAGAUUAAAGGGGAUAAAUCGUAAAAAAUAAAAAAAAGGAGAGGGCUAAAACUGAACUCGCGAACGAAGAACGAGGAUCGAACGCGAAAUUAUUCCCCAAAUCCGUAAACGCACCGUUCCAAAAGGGAUUAAAAUAACAAGGAACUAAAAUCACAUGGCUAAAUUUUAAAUAAAUAAAAGAUAAUGGGACCGGAUUGAAGAAUCAGUAAAAACAAAAGGACCGGAUGUGUAAAUAUCCCCUUUGUGGGGAAAACACGCGAAUCUGGCCUGAAAACGGGUCAGGUCUUCGGGUGUGAUGCAAAACGACGCCGUUUUGGCACCUGAAACCAGGGCCCAAAACGACAUCGUAUGGCCCUCUUAUAAAAGUCAAAUUUCCAACAAAAAAUUCAUUCUUUCAACCCCCUAAAAAAAAAUUCAUUCUCUUUCUCUCCUUCUGGGCUAAACCCAGAAACUGGCCAAGAAGGCCACCGACGGUCGGUCGUCGCGCCACCGUGGCUCUACCGCCGUCGACCGCCAUGUACGAUGGCCGGAGCUCGAAAAGAAGCCUCUUUUUCAGCCAAUCGGAGAGUAGGUAAAAAAAUUCCGCUUUUUAUAUAUUUUGAUAUAUAUAGGUAUAUAAAAUAAUUUUGGGAAAAAUAAGAAGAAAAUAAAAACGAAAUAAAGAAAUACCCUUUUUGAACUUGAUUUCUUUGUUCGAUAACGAAAUAAAGAAAUACCCUUUUUGAACUUGAUUUCUUUGUUCGAUUUCCCUCUGUUUUUGUAUUUGAAUGCUUUUUUUUAUUUUGCUUGAAUCUCUGCUUUUUUAUUUAAAAAUCUCGUUUUCUUUAUUCAUUCUCUCUCUGAAAAAAUUACAUUUUUCUUCUGGCUAUUUAUAGCCGAAUACAAAAGUUUUUUGUCUAUUGUUUGCUACUGUCAUUGCUUCUGUUUGCCUCUGUUUCUUUGCCGUUUUGGUUUUCCUCUACAGGUUCGGCGUUCGAUCAACGAAGGCAGGUGGCCAUUUUGGUGUUAGCGUGCCAGGGGAGCCGACCCUCGAGCGAAGGACGUGCUGACGAGGCACGUGGGUGACAGUAGGGAGGCGCGGCGCUGAAGGGGAUUCAAAAACCCUAGGGUUUCUGAAUUGUUUUAGGCUAUUGGGCCUAUUGGGACAGUAGGAAUUAGGUUAGGGGUUCGGCCUUGAUAUGGGUUUGGUGAAAUUUGGGCUUUUGAUGUUGUAAAUGGACUUUAAUAAUUUUGGACUUUAUUUUGGUUGUUUUGUUUUUUUGGUUUCUAAUGGGCCGGGCAAAAUAGGCCUCUUACAAGAACUAAAUUGAUAAAAUUUGUAAAUGUGGAUGAUUCAAUUUGUUGAAUUAUUUAAAAUGAAGGUUGAUUUGAUAAAAUUUAUAAGUGUAUUAUAUGAAGUAAACUAUUUUCACUAACAAUUUAAUGAGAUGACCAAAACAAAAAUAAAUAAUAAUGUUAGUGAUAAAAUUGAAUUUUUUUUUAUAGUUGAAUGAUUAAAAUAAUAACACUCAGCUAAUUAUAUAAUUUACUUUUAGAAAGAUCAAACAAAAUAGGUGGGGGCAACCAUUUUACUCUUAAAACUACAUGACUUUCAAUGAUUUGUUGGGUUUGAAAAUUAUAGGACCUAACAAACAACAUUAACUUAAUAAAUUCUGCC
rnacentral:lncRNA from 1 species